UGGCACAGACGAUGGUGCCUUAACCAGAGCCGUUAUGGGUUACACGGGAGACAGAGCUCUGCUUGGAUGGAUUGCGGGAAAAUGGAGAGUGAGGGGAGGAAGGCAGUGUUCCCGACCCCGCUGACAGGAGGCAGAGAAGCAGGGAGAGCAGAGCUGGGGCGGAGAAGAGGGCGGAAUCCAUCAAUGAUUUCUGACCUGAUACAGGUCCGCCACGGGAGGCUUCAAAUUAAAUGGGAGAAAACUGCCCCUACCUUCGUGGUGUUUUGAGAAACUACAAGAAUUAUCCAGGUAAGGAUUAGAAGAGAUGACAACAUCAGCAGUGCUUUUUGAAGCUUCAUGUUUGGGAACAUGACGAGUGUCCCCUGAAAGAAAACACAGGAGAAGGAAUAAGUGUGUUAUAUUGCCUUGACUGUCUGCUCUUUCAUUGAAUGGAGGAACUUCUGGAGAUGAUACCAUCACUCAAGAAGACCGCAAUCUCAGGCUGGAACCACCUCACUCAUAUACUGAUAUGUGUCCCACAAGAUCUCGGUCCUGACAACCAAUUCUCUAAUGAUAUCCUUGUCUAACAUUUGGACUGAUGUACUACAAACCAGUGAGAAUUGCUCUCUUGAGAGUGGCCAAAGUACUUUGUAAGGUGGAAUUUUAGUAUUGGCAGGCUCCUUAAAAUUUAUUAAUCCAUUUCUCAUUUCUGUAAUUAUUUUUGCAUCUGCUUUCUACUUGGAAAUUUUUCAAGAUCACCAUUGUCUAAACCAAAAGCAACUGCAGUUCAUGAUUCUUGGAGAUUUAUAGCAGAUAAUAUGCUUUAUACUUAAAUCAGUACCUGACCCAGAUGCUACUAUUGAUCUUGAGCUCUGCAUAUCCCUAUGUCCUCAGGGUGUCUCCACUUGGAAAUCUCCAUGGGCAGAGAUGUGCUGGACCUGGCCUACAUUAGCUAAUGAGAGCCUACUACGCCCAUCUCUCCCCAGUGCAAAUAGGGCAUUAUGGACCAACGUGCAUCAGGGAAAUCAGCAAAGGAUGAAAACAGGUCCUUUUCUGGGAAAGCAGAUUUAUCGAUACACCCUGCCAAGAGGUUCUUAAAAUCAACCGAUUCAGUGAGAGUAUUUUCUUUUCUCUGAACUCUCUACCUUUUUAUUUUUAACCAGGAAUCACCAAUCGGAAUCCCGGUCACUGAAUUGUCUGUCUCCAUUGGUCUUAUCCUGUUAUCUUCAGACGUGAUUGGCAAAGGGCAAAGACUGCCACUGUUGUCCCUUCUCCCACGAGUGUUAAGUGGUGCGUGGGUGUCCGGUUACACUACAUUUCCAGGCCUUCAUUGUGUGUGGCGCCCUUUAUUUGAAACAGAGAACAGUCAGGUGCACCAUGUGCACAUCUGCUCCACACCGGCUGCCUUUUUCCUGACAGCAGCCUGCUGAACACAGCAGCAGCCCGUUUUGACCAACUGAUGAGACCUCUGAACCUCUUCUUCAAAUAAUGUUUUAAAAUAUGUAAAAUCGCAUAUAACAAAAAUUAGUGUUGCUGAAGCCCAGCAAUCAACAUUUCAAAUAACAAUUUUUCAUAUGGUCAUAAAGCAGUUCUUCAUUCCCACAUGAAGUGUUAAAAUUUACAAUAUCGGCCUCAUAUUUACAGUAAUUUCAGAGCACUGAUAAGUAUGAAUGGCAUUUUGAGCAUCUGUAUGAACUGUCGUGAUGGAACACUACCUGUGACUGGAAUUGCUGACUCAGAUCCAGAAAGGUCCUCAUCCUGUCCGUGGCCUCAUUGGGGUAACCAGCCCAGCGUUAUGGCUGGAGGCAGAGGAUGGCAGAAGUUCCAAGAUUCUUCGCUUCCUGGAUGAGCUCAAGAGGCCGAAACCAACUGGACUUCUCCAUGAGAGAGAACCCCACACCCACCUUGCUCCCUGUCUCAGCCGUCACAUUUGGGGUCUUACUCCCCUCAUGGGCACUCCAUAUGGUCGGCAUCUUUUACAUUUGUGGAGCUUUCACUGUCAUGGCCACUGCCGCCUGGUACAUGUAUUUCCAAUGCAUUGCAUCAAAAUUUCUUUAGUUUAGAAAUACUUUAUUGUGGCAUAAUUUAUAUGCAAUAAAAUGUGUGGAUUUUACUGGCA